GGUAACUUCGCCAAACUUCACUUUGAACAUCUUUCCUCAUUUUGGUUCCUGCUCAGCUGUUAACAUCGACUUUAUUCUCCAAAGUGAUAAGUUCUGUUGGAGAGAACCUGUUUACCACAUCUGAGUCUAUCAAAGAGGAAAAAAGAGCAUAACGAUGCGCAUCCUUCCUGUUUGCCUGGUUGUCUGUUCGCUGCUGGUCCUGGU